rnacentral:rRNA from 1 species
UACUAAGCCAUGCGAGUCAUUCGUAGCAAUGACAAGGCAGACGGCUCAGUAACGCGUAGUCAACCUACCCUAUGGACGGGGAUAACCUCGGGAAACUGAGAAUAAUACCAGAUAGAACAUUAUGCCUGGAAUGGUUUAUGUUUAAAAUAAUUUAUUGCCGUAGGAUGGGACUGCGGCCUAUCAGUUUGUUGGUGAGGUAAUGGCCCACCAAGACUAUUACAGGUACGGGCUCUGAGAGGAGUAGCCCGGAGAUGGGUACUGAGACACGGACCCAGGCCCUAUGGGGCGCAGCAGGCGAGGAAACUUUGCAAUGUGCGCAAGCACGACAAGGUUAAUCCGAGUGAUUUCUGCUAAAGGAAUCUUUUGUCAGUCCUAGAAACACUGUUGAAUAAGGGGUGGGCAAGUUCUGGUGUCAGCCGCCGCGGUAAAACCAGCACCUCAAGUGGUCAGGAUGAUUAUUGGGCCUAAAGCAUCCGUAGCCUGUUUUGUCAGUUUUCGGUUAAAUCCAUACGCUCAACGUAUGGGCUGCCGGAAAUACUGCAAAACUAGGGAGUGGGAGAGGUAGACGGUACUCGGGAGGAAGGGGUAAAAUCCUUUGAUCUCUCGAUGACCACCUGUGGCGAAGGCGGUCUACCAGAACACGUCCGACGGUGAGGGAUGAAAGCUGGGGGAGCAAACCGGAUUAGAUACCCGGGUAGUCCCAGCUGUAAACUAUGCAAACUCAGUGAUGCAUUGGCUUGACGCCAAUGCAGUGUUGCAGGGAAGCCGUUAAGUUUGCCGCCUGGGAAGUACGUACGCAAGUAUGAAACUUAAAGGAAUUGGCGGGGGAGCACCACAAGGGGUGAAGCCUGCGGUUCAAUUGGAUUCAACGCCGG